rnacentral:rRNA from 1 species
GUGUCAGCCGCCGCGGUAAUACAGAGGUCCCAAGCGUUGUUCGGAUUCACUGGGCGUAAAGGGUGCGCAGGUGGCGCUUCAAGUUUGAUGUGAAAGCUUCGGGCUUAACCCGGAAAUGGCAUUGAAUACUGGAGUGCUGGAGGUUUGGAGGGGGGACUGGAAUUCUCGGUGUAGCAGUGAAAUGCGUAGAUAUCGAGAGGAACACCAGUGGCGAAGGCGAGUCCCUGGACAACACCUGACACUGAGGCACGAAAGCUAGGGGAGCAAACAGGAUUAGAUACCCCGGUAGUCC